rnacentral:rRNA from 1 species
AGCAUCUAAGCACGAAACCCUGCCCAAGAUGAAGUAUCCCUUGUUCGUAAGAACACUAAAGGUGCCUUCGAGAUGAGAAGGUCGAUAGGCGGUAGGUGUAAGCAUAGCAAUAUGUUCAGCCGAACCGUUACUAAUCCACCGUGAGGCUUGACUUA